rnacentral:rRNA from 1 species
CGCAAUGGGCGCAAGUCUGACGGAGCGAUACAGCGUGAAGGACGAAGUGCUUCGGUACGUAAACAUCUUUUAUGUGGGACGAAAUUAUUGACGGUACCACAUGAAUAAGGGGCUCCUAACUCUGUGCCAGCAGGAGCGGUAAUACAGAGGCCCCAAGCAUUAUCCGGAAUCACUGGGCGUAAAGGGUGUCAAGGCGGUCAUGUUAGUCGUUCGUUAAAUCUGGGGGCUCAACCUCCAGCCUGCGAGCGAAACGGCAUGACUUGAGGUCAGGAGAGGUAUGUGGAACUCACGGUGUAGGGGUGAAAUCCGUUGAUAUCGUGGGGAACACCAAAGGCGAAGGCAGCAUACUGGCCUGAAUCUGACGCUCACACACGAAAGCCA